rnacentral:sRNA from 1 species
UUAUUUUUUAUUAUUUCCACUAUAAUUAUACCUUUUCAAAUUUUAUAUUUAUUAUUUUAAAACGCUGCAAUGGGGAGAUAAAAACGUGAAUUGAAAAAUGGCUCAAAUAUAAAACGCAGUAUAUUAUUAAACUAUUUGGAAAAAAAAAGAUUAGUUGACAGUUUUUUAAACAAAGCAAUUAGGGUUGAUUAAAUUUAAAAAAAGUUUAUAAUUUGAAAAUAAUAAUUUCUGGCCGUUUUAGUUUUAUUUAAAUCACGCGAAUAAUCGGUUCGAUUUUCAAAAAAACUAAUUUGGCCUAAACGUUUGCGUUUUUUAAUUUUAAAGUAUUCGGUAAAUAAUAUAAAAUUUACUAAAACCAAAAUAAAAUUCUGCUUUUUUUAAAUAAAUCGUUCGGCUUUUGAUUAGGCCGCGAAAUAUAUAAAGUUAAAUAAAUAAAAAGGAUUGACGAUAUUACCAUUUAUAAUUGCAACUGUUUAAAAUAAAUUAUUUGUAUAAAUUGCAAAUGGCCGAAAAACAAAAAAAAACGCAAUUAUAAGGCAUUUUACCAAUUUGCAAAUACGAAAACUGCUUUUAUAAUAAAAGCAAAUUUUAUUUAUCCUAUCCGUUUAAAAAAAACAUUCCCUAAAUAUAUUUAAUAUCGGGGGAAUUCUCGGUGUUUUUAGCGAUUUUAACGGCGCGACGAAAAUAUUUUAUAUAUAUAAUGCGGUUAUAGGUUAUAUUAAUAUAAACGUUAGCAAAGAUAGAGAUUUGGGAACCGCGGGCGAUUUUUAUGGUUAAACCUGCCGCAGAACGAGGUAUGGGAAAUAUAAUAAAAAGCGGUAGCAAAAGAACGAUUUGAUACGAGAAGAAAAGCGACGAAAACGCAAAAUAACGCAUAUAAAAAAUUCAAAAUAUUUUAUAUUAAAAAUAAAAACAAGAAAAGUUUAAUUGAAAUUUUUUUGCGUUAAAAAUAAGAGCAAUUUAAUAUAUUAACCAAAUGGGGUUUACCAAUCGUUAAUAUUAUGGCCCAUUAUUUGUAACAAAUACCGCCGAUUAUUAAUAAGAACCCACGCGGAACAAUUGCGUUUUUUUUACAUUUGUUCAAAAUUACCCCGCCUUAUACCUAAAGCUACUGUUUAAAACGAGGACGUUCUUAUUAAAAAAGAGAUAAUUAUUACGUGCAAAUUUAUUAAUAUCUAAAUAUUAGCGUAUAAAUUUAGGGGCUGGGUUUUGCUAAAUUUGUAAAUUCGCGUUAUAUAAACGCAAUAGGAAGGCCGCCUUUAAAUAAAAGCUCCUAACUCCUUAAAGUUGCAGGUUAAUUUAAAAUCCUUAAAAAUCAAUUUUUAAUCCCAAUAUUAUUACUAUAAUAUUAUCGUUAAUUUUAUACGCUAUAUUAUUACCCUAUAUUUUGUUGGCUGACGUGUGUUUAACUUGUACCUUAUUUCCGGUCGUGAUAAUUUAACGCCCUGUAACGGGUAAUAAAAGAUAAUUAUCCAUUGGAUCCAAAUGUUUGGUAUUAUUAAUUCCGUUUUAAAAUUUAAAAUUAAAAUCCCCUUUUAAAAUAAAUAUUAUUUUUUUGGAAUAGUUAAACUUUUACCGGGUAUAACUUUUAAAAGUUUUACGGUAAAAAGUUUAUAUACGGUCUGUUUAACGGGGGCGUAAACCAAUUUUAUAAAAUUAAAUAAAUGGGUUAAAUGUUUUAUUAUUUUUAUUCGGGGUACCAGUUUGUUAAACUUCUGGCGUUUUUCAAAGGGUAUAAUAACUUGGGAUACCGUAUUAAUAAUCCGAAUAUAACCUAAGUUAAACUUAUAUAAUAAUCCAAAUGAAAGUUCGGAAUAAAACUUUUAUAGGGUGUUAAUUUCGUAUUAAUUACCAUUGUGCGGCUUAUUAAAUAAACCACGGCUAGUAAUAAAUAAUAAUAUAAAUUUAACAGUAAAUUUACCGUUAUAAUAAUAAAUUUGGAUCUAUUUAAAAUAACUUUAACAAACUAUUCUAUUAACCCGUUUUGGCCGUAAUUAUAAAAUUUGGAAAUGUUAAUAUUUCAUUUGCUAACCAAUUAUAAAAUAUUAUAUUAAUUUUACACCCCCCCCGAUUUAUAUAAUAUUAAAAGGGCAACGCCCGUAUAUAAUUUUCAAAAUUAUUUAAUUUUUAAGUAAUUCUUAAAAUUGUAAAUAGGGUUUUAUUAAAUAACAAAAUUAAUUACCGAAAAAGCUAUUUUUAAUCCAUUCUCAAUUAAAAUACAGGUUUUUUAUUGUAAAAAUUAGGUUUAGAAAUUAUUAUAUUAUUUUUAAUAAGAUUAGAAAUAUUAGGAGAUGUAAAAUUACUGUUUUAUUUAACCGUUUAAUAAAAAUGGUCUAAACGCAGAUAAUAUAAUUAACAACCCUAAUUUUGUCAGAAUUAGGUAAAUAAUAUAUGUUCUGAACGGGUUUUUAAAUAAUAAUAACUUUAUAUACCCUAAGUGCCUAUUUUAUAACAGGAUUUUUCAAGCUUGGAUUUUGUUAUAAUUGUUUGUAAUUCCAUUUUUUUAACCGUUAUCUAACCAUUAAUAAUUUAAUUUAAAUCUGGAAAAAGAUUUUACCAAGAGCUCCAUUAAAAUUUGGUAAUAAAAAAGGUUUUAAUAACAAAUUUCUUAUACCGGAAACCUUCUUUUUCUAAAAUUAACCCUUUUAAUAUUCGGUCGCGUAAAAAGUUUAUAUAACGGUUUACCAAAUUUACGAGAUUUAAUUUUGGGUGGAUUUUUAAAAUUUGUCGCAUUAAACUUUUAUAUUAUAAAUAAAUUUACGGUUAUAUUUUUAUUUUAUUCGAGAUUUAGUUUUUCCAUUAAGUAUUUUCUUCCUGUUCAGAAUCGGUAUAAAUUUUAUAAUUGUUUUGGUUUUUAGGUAUUAUACUAUUUAAUUUUGUUUCCAACAGAACAACGUAACGUUUUAAAACCCUUUGUAAAAUUAAAUUAAAAAUAAUAUUAUACUUACUAAUUAUAUAGGCGUAACUUAAAAAUAUAAAUAUAUUCUGAAAAAAAAUAUGCCACUUUUUUAUUUCCAAAUAAAACGAAUCUUUAAUAAUAUUUAGGCAUUUGCCCGUUUUGCGAUCCCAAGUAUAUAAAGAAUUUUGUAAUAAUAUACCCCUUAUAUUAUAAUAUAUUAGUUUAUUAACGAUAUUUAUUUCAAACGAGGGGAUAUAUAAUACGUUAUUUAAUAUUACCUUUUUAAAUUCGUUACUUUUAGGUUUAUAUCGGAUUUAUUUUUUAAUAAUUCCAAUAUUAAUAAACCUAAUAGGACCACCUUCAGUACCAAUUUCAAUUGUUAAACCGGGGAUACAACUGGUAAAAGUUUUUUAAUUUGCAAAAACACAAUGCGUAUUAUUUAUAUUAUAUAGGACCGGGUAAUUUGAUUUCCGGGGUUUUAAAUUUGUUUUUACGCCGUUUCGCAAUUUUGCUUAAACUUUAAGAUCAACUAGUAAUACUUGUGGUUUUGGCGCCUUACCGAUAUAAUCGGGCUCCGAAUUUAACUUCAAAUAUAAUUUUACAACCCCGCUAAUAACGGAAUUAAUUUUUAUUGCAAUAUCCGAUACGGUGCAUUACCCUCCGCAUUGUUCAUUUGUUCCAGGGUGUUAUAUAUUGCGUAUAUAUUAAUAUUACCUAAAGUAAACCCGUAAAUAAUUCGAAACUUAUUAAAAUUAUAAGAAUUAUAAUGUUUAAUUUGUUAAAAUUAAGAGGAUUUAAUACUUUUCGCAAAAAUAAAGUCCGAAUUAAAGUUUUUGCUUUUCUAUUGUAAUUUGGAAAUAAUUUCCCACCCGCUAUUUUUUACGCUCUUUUUAGCGUUUGUUUUACCAUUGUUCUGACCUUUAACCUUAUAAUUAACAACUUUGGCUAUUAUGAAAUUUAUAAUCGAAUUUUGAAAUAUAAAAUUCGCUAUAAAAUAUUGCAAAUUUUUAAUUCGCUUCUUUUAGCUAAAAUAAUAAAAUUAAACCAUGUUUAAAUUUUCAAUUAGCAAAUUAAAAGUUAUUCCGCGAAUAAUUUUGGUUUUGUAACUAAUAAGGGCUUUAAUACAAUUACUUCAAAUAUUUAAUAUUUAAUAACCAAAACAGAAAUAUUAUAUUUACUUAACAAAUAACUAAUUAAAAAUAUACUUAUGUAAUAAAAAGAAUGUUUUCGUACUGUUAAAAGUUAAGAUAGCUUCUAUUGAACUUUUUUAAAUUUCGGACCGUUUAUAUAUAAUGCAAUUGGAUAUAAAUUACUGUAUUAAUUAUUAAGUUAAUAGGUAAUACAACUUAUAAUAUAUUGUGGCUGCGGCCUUUCUGUUUAGUCCGGACAAUAUCGCGAUAUUAAGUCGUAUACUUAUUAUAUUAAUUAUUUGUGAAAUAUGUUUAGUUCGUUAUUUUGCAUUUCUACAAUUUGUAUUUGUCUGUAUAUAUUAUCAAAAAAACCCGUUAUUUGUAAUAUUCUAUAUAUUUAAUUGUUUCUCUUCCAUUAAUGCGGUAUUUGGAAAAUUAAAUACGGAAUUGCAAAUUUUAGUUUGAACUUCGCGUUUAUUAUUUAAUUAUUACAUAUGUUCUUUUUCAAAAUGGGUCUCGUUUUCCAAAUUAUAAUUAUAACUAUUAGAAUUGCGGACUUUUUGUAAAUGAAAUCUUUUUUAUAUUUCUAACCCCUUUUUUAACAUUAAUAUAUUAAACGCUAAGAAUAUUAAUUGCGAAAUUAAUUAUUAAUUAAUAUUAGUUUGUCCGAUUUAUUUUCGUCGCUUUACUUUCUUCGUCGCGGUUACAAAUAUCGGGUAAUAUUUCUCCCGCGGUUAGGUAAUAAAUUAAAACAAAUUUAUAUUCGUUUAGCGUUUUCACCGAUUUUAUCUACCGUUUUAUUAAUUAUUAUUUAUUUAUUAAAUAUGUUGAAAUUUACUAAUUUGUUAAAGUUAUAUCCCCCGCAGUUAUUUUUAAUAUAAUACUUUAGUAAGUUGAAAAUCAAUUUUAACUAGUUUUUUCCUAUAAUAAAUAAACUAAGUAUAUUAUAAUAAUUUGAAUUUGUUUGAAAUAGUAUUAGUUUUAACGGGAAUUAAUUAUAAUAUAUUCCGAAUUACGUGAGUUUGUUUUAUUAUAUACGGAUAAUUACUUCAUACGAUCCAAUAAUUUUAAAUGCUUUAAAUACGUUUUAUUUUACAGGGGUAAACUAUAUGGUGUAAAUUUACAAAUUAAUAUUAUUAGGGAAACUAAUAUAUUAAAAUAUCCACAAAUAAAUAUAUAAUUAAAAUCUAAAAGUUCUAUUACCUUUUCUACGUUUUAUUAAUAAUAGGGGGUUUUAAUUCCGAAUAAUUAUAAUUUUUUCGGGGUUUGGCCGUACUUUAAUCCUGUUUUUAAAUUAAACCCUAGUUAUUGUAUAUAUUUUAAUUUGAAAACUCGCUUUUAUCAAAAUUAUAAUGCAAUUUAUAAUUAUUUAGGUUCCACUACACUUUCUCUUUUUCCGACGUAAAUAUUACAAAAUCUAUUUAUAAAAAUAAAUAAAUUAUUUAUAUAUAUAAUAUAAAUAAUAUUUACACAGUUUUAAUAUAUUAUAUAAUUAUUUUUUAAAGUCUUCUGCGGUUUUCGAAAAUAUCGAGCGAAACUAUUAUUUAUUAAAUUACUCGUAUUGAAUUUUGAAAAGUAUUUUAUAUUUUUAAUUUCAUUUAAUUUUUAUUGUGGAAAAUGCGAAUAUUAUUUUAAACUAUAUUAGCAUUUGCAAUUUAAAAUAGAAUAUUACCUUCUAUUAAAUAAUAGUAAACAGUAACAGUUUAUUUUUAGUAUUAUAUUUUAAAUUGUAUUAUUAAUAUAAAGUUUUAAACCGCCCCGUAACUUGUUUUUAAAAACCACUAACAUUCCUACUGAAAAUCUAUCAAAUUGAAUUAAAUUUCAAUUGUUAUUAAUUAUCCAUUGUUUUUUAUAAUAUUGUUAAUUUUUCUGCUUUAUAUUAUUAUAAAACCUAUAUAUUAUAGUUUGUUUUACCGUUUGCAUUUUUACAAUUUUUAAUUUCUAAUUAAUAUUUGGUUAAUUGAAAUUCUAUUUUCUAUCCUCCUUUCCGGGAAAAAUUAUAUAAAUUUCUAACUUUUUAAAUAUCUAUUUAAAAACAAGUUUCUAACCAGUUUUUAUAAUGUAAGAUUCCUUAUACGUUGUAUUAUAGUUAUUUGAAAAGAAAUUUUGGCCGCGUUUUGUUUUUUAAAUACGGGUUAUUAAAUUUUAUAUAAUGUUUCUAAUAAUAUUUUCUUUAUAAUUAGUUUCUCAUCCGUUUUAAAAGUAGUAACAGAUUAAACGUUACGCCAAUAUAAAUUUCAAUUUGUUAAAUAUAAUGUAAAAUACGAUUAAAUAUAAACAACGUCAAAUGUUCCAAAUAUAUUAUAUUAUAUUAAUUUAAAUAUAAGUUAAAUUUUCAUUU